AGAGUUUGAUCCUGGCUCAGGAUGAACGCUGGCGGCGUGCCUAACACAUGCAAGUCGAGUGAAGCGAUUUAGCGGAAGUUUUCGGAUGGAAGCUAAAUUGACUGAGCGGCGGACGGGUGAGUAACGCGUGGGUAACCUGCCUCAUACAGGGGAUAACAGUUAGAAAUGACUGCUAAUACUGCAUAAGCGCACAGCAUCGCAUGAUGCAGUGUGAAAAACUCCGGUGGUAUGAGAUGGACCCGCGUCUGAUUAGCUAGUUGGUGAGGUAAAGGCCCACCAAGGCGACGAUCAGUAGCCGACCUGAGAGGGUGAUCGGCCACAUUGGGACUGAGACACGGCCCAAACUCCUACGGGAGGCAGCAGUGGGGAAUAUUGAACAAUGGGGGAAACCCUGAUGCAGCAACGCCGCGUGAGUGAAGAAGUAUUUCGGUAUGUAAAGCUCUAUCAGCAGGGAAGAAAAUGACGGUACCUGACUAAGAAGCCCCGGCUAACUACGUGCCAGCAGCCGCGGUAAUACGUAGGGGGCAAGCGUUAUCCGGAUUUACUGGGUGUAAAGGGAGCGUAGACGGCGAAGCAAGUCUGAAGUGAAAGCCCGGGGCUUAACCCCGGGACUGCUUUGGAAACUGUUUUGCUAGAGUGCUGGAGAGGUAAGUGGAAUUCCUAGUGUAGCGGUGAAAUGCGUAGAUAUUAGGAGGAACACCAGUGGCGAAGGCGGCUUACUGGACAGUAACUGACGUUGAGGCUCGAAAGCGUGGGGAGCAAACAGGAUUAGAUACCCUGGUAGUCCACGCGGUAAACGAUGAAUGGCUAGGUGUUGGGGAGCAGAGCUCUUCGGUGCCGUUGCAAACGCUAUAAGCAUUCCUCCUGGGGAGUAUGUUCGCAAGAAUGAAACUCAUAGGAAUUGACGGGGACCCGCACAAGCGGUGGAGCAUGUGGUUUAAUUCGAAGCAACGCGAAGAACCUUACCAAGUCUUUGACAUCUUUCUGACCGGCGCGUAACGGCGCCUUCUCUUCGGAGCAGGAGUGACAGGUGGUGCAUGGUUGUCGUCAGCUCGUGUCGUGAGAUGUUGGGUUAAGUCCCGCAACGAGCGCAACCCUUAUCCUUAGUAGCCAGCAGUAAGAUGGGCACUCUAGGGAGACUGCCAGGGAUAACCUGGAGGAAGGUGGGGAUGACGUCAAAUCAUCAUGCCCCUUAUGAUUUGGGCUACACACGUGCUACAAUGGCGUAAACAAAGGGAAGCGAAGCCGCGAGGCGAAGCAAAUCCCAAAAAUAACGUCCCAGUUCGGAUUGUAGGCUGCAACUCGCCUGCAUGAAGCUGGAAUCGCUAGUAAUCGCGAAUCAGAAUGUCGCGGUGAAUACGUUCCCGGGUCUUGCACACACCGCCCGUCA
rnacentral:rRNA from 1 species